GUCCAGCUCCAUGUCUCAGGCUCAUAAAGUGACUUUUAAUCUGCAAAUUUGGAGCCGUUUGGAACAUUGUGACGUCAGUUCAUUCUGGAAUUGACGUCUGAUGAUUCUGGAAUUGACGUCUGAUAAUUCUGGAAUUGACGCGUUCCAGAAGCCACUUCUCUGCUUGUAAACAUUUUAUUAUUAUUAACGGGCUAAUUGAACCAGCUUUCUCAACUCUGAUGAUGUGAGAUAUUGUGUCAGCAGCUCUGAAUGGGUCGCUCCAGUCUGCCCGGGUUGUCCAAUGGCAGAGAGGCUCCGGGAUGGGAGCCCCCUAUUGGCUCCUCAACAUAAUCGAUCCGCGGCUGAUUGAUCGGUUUUAGGCCACAUUUGCGAGGAGAGCGCACAACAAAACGUCGUCCUCGAAUAGAAAAACACACACUUUGUGUUUUCAAACAACUUCUACCGGCUGUAUAUUCACCCAAAACACAGAAUAUUAUUAAAUAUAUACACCAAGACAUCAUCUCCUUCAUCACUCUGACUAAACCUCUCAAAACCAAACAGACUCAACACUCAGCGCGUCCAGUCAUCGAUCAUCUGCCCUCCGGUGCCAGAAAUGGUGUCAUAACAUGAUAAUGCGGCUUCACACAUUCAGCGGUGAUUCCUGUGGUAAAAACCCGAGUGGAGAGACCCGGUGGGACAACAUUUACAGGCACAAAAUGACUAUGAAAGCCUCCUGCAGUCCCGAGGAACAGAGGAGCCACGGAGGAGGACGCACGGACUUUUACGCACAGAGAUAUUGGAUCAAAUAAUAAACUUGUGCUAUUUAUUGAGUAAAACCAUUCCUCCAGAUGAUGACCGGUUUCUUGCUCAAGCGGCUGGUAUAGAGAAUAAAAGACUUAACCACGAGCAGCUUGUGGCUGAUCUGUAUCUCCCAGUAAACACACGGUCGCCAUGAAAGUACAGUUAUAACACACCACAAAACCACAUGUGUAGUAUAUCAAGGUGAUUAAAAACUGGAGCAUUUCAGUUGCUUCUCUGUGAAAAAAUUAAUAGCCAAUUAAUUAAUUUCUUAUAGAAAUUACGUGAAAUUCUUCUAUUCCAGUGGAACAGUGUUGUCAAAUUAAAAUGCUAAAAAACAAAUGAAUAGAGUAGAUGCAACACUCACGUGGAAAUAAGAGUUAAGAAAUAAUAUAAACUUCAAUAACAGCGAUGAUAUCCAAAAUAAUAGUGGCAUAAUCAAAUUAAAUAUAUAUCAGAUCACAGGUGAUAAAAUGUAGUGCAGUAUUUAAAACUACAAUGGAAAUAAAUCUCAGACUUUCUCUUUUCGCACUUGACAUUUU